GGGCUCAUAGUGUAGUUGGCUAACACGCCUCCCUGUCACGGAGGAGACCAGGGGUUCGAGUCCCCUUGGGCCCGCCA
rnacentral:tRNA from 1 species